AUUGAACGCUGGCGGCAGGCCUAACACAUGCAAGUCGAACGGUAACAGGAAGAAGCUUGCUUCUUUGCUGACGAGUGGCGGACGGGUGAGUAAUGUCUGGGAAACUGCCUGAUGGAGGGGGAUAACUACUGGAAACGGUAGCUAAUACCGCAUAACGUCGCAAGACCAAAGAGGGGGACCUUCGGGCCUCUUGCCAUCGGAUGUGCCCAGAUGGGAUUAGCUUGUAGGUGGGGUAACGGCUCACCUAGGCGACGAUCCCUAGCUGGUCUGAGAGGAUGACCAGCCACACUGGAACUGAGACACGGUCCAGACUCCUACGGGAGGCAGCAGUGGGGAAUAUUGCACAAUGGGCGCAAGCCUGAUGCAGCCAUGCCGCGUGUAUGAAGAAGGCCUUCGGGUUGUAAAGUACUUUCAGCGGGGAGGAAGGGAGUAAAGUUAAUACCUUUGCUCAUUGACGUUACCCGCAGAAGAAGCACCGGCUAACUCCGUG
rnacentral:rRNA from 1 species